UAGGGAAUCUUCGGCAAUGGACGAAAGUCUGACCGAGCAACGCCGCGUGAGUGAAGAAGGUUUUCGGAUCGUAAAACUCUGUUGUUAGAGAAGAACAAGGACGUUAGUAACUGAACGUCCCCUGACGGUAUCUAACCAGAAAGCCACGGCUAACUACGUGCCAGCAGCCGCGGUAAUACGUAGGUGGCAAGCGUUGUCCGGAUUUAUUGGGCGUAAAGCGAGCGCAGGCGGUUUCUUAAGUCUGAUGUGAAAGCCCCCGGCUCAACCGGGGAGGGUCAUUGGAAACUGGGAGCCUUGAGUGCAGAAGAGGAGAGUGGAAUUCCAUGUGUAUCGGUGAAAUGCGUAGAUAUAUGGAGGAACACCAGUGGCGAAGGCGGCUCUCUGGUCUGUAACUGACGCUGAGGCUCGAAAGCGUGGGGAGCAAACAGG
rnacentral:rRNA from 1 species